GCCGUUAUAGCUCAGUCGGUAGAGCGCAAGCAUGGUAAGCUUGAGGUCUCGGGUUCGAUUCCCGAUAACGGCUCCA
rnacentral:tRNA from 1 species